AAAGAAAUGAAGGUUUCACAAGAAAAUGGAUAAAUUCAAGUAAACUGAAAAUACACAAAGAAACAGAUGACAAGGAUAUAACAACUUUCUGUAAUGGUACACAGUUGAGUUAUACAGCAUGGAUCAUAAUAAUUACCACAAAGUGAACUCCUCCACAUUAGCACAAUCCAGAUGAUUAAGGAAAUUUUGCAGGAGAAAAAGGGACACUAGAAGAAAGCAAUGGAGCAGGCAAUGCAGAUCUUCUUUAAAAAGAAAGCUUGUCUUCUAAGAAAGGCCAUCUUCCUUAUCACUUCCAACUCCAGAGGAGUAGAACCAGAA